GCGCGUAAAUUGCCCGAAUCCUGACACAGGGAGGUAGUGACAAGAAAUAACAAUACAGGGCCAUUCUGGUCUUGUAAUUGGAAUGAGUACAAUUUACAUCUCUUCACGAGGAUCAAUUGGAGGGCAAGUCUGGUGCCAGCAGCCGCGGUAAUUCCAGCUCCAAUAGCGUAUAUUAAAGUUGUUGCAGUUAGAACGCUCGUAGUCGGAUUUCGGGGCGUUCCGACCGGUCUGCCGAUGGGUAUGCACUGGCCGGAGUGUCCUUUUUGCCGGAGACCGUGCCUACUCUUAACUGAGCGGGGGCGGGAGACGGCACUUUUACUUUGAAAAAAUCAGAGUGUUUCAAGCAGGCAGCUCGCUCUUGCAUGGAUUAGCAUGGGAUAAUGAAAUAGGACUUUGGUGCUAUUUUGUUGGUUUCGAACACGGAAGUAAUGAUGAGAAGGGACAGUCAGGGGCACUCGUAUUCC
rnacentral:rRNA from 1 species